GACGUAGGGCGCGAGCGUUGUCCGGAUUUAUUGGGCGUAAAGAGCUCGUAGGCGGCUUGUCGCGUCGAAUGUGAAAACCCACGGCUCAACUGUGGGCUUGCAUUCGAUACGGGCAGACUAGAGUGUGGUAGGGGAGACUGGAAUUCCUGGUGUAGCGGUGAAAUGCGCAGAUAUCAGGAGGAACACCCGUGGCGAAAGCGGCUCUCUGGGACGGUACUGACGCUGAGACGCGAAAGCGUGGGAGC
rnacentral:rRNA from 1 species